UACUGACACAAUUCACACUCGACAUAAAAGCUUGCACAAUAUUUAACAAUGCCCAAGCGUAACCGAACCACAGACCGAACAUUGUCAGCUUUUAAGACGCAAGCACUUCCAGCUGAUUCUGAGGAAACUUGCUUUGGUUGAUAAUGUUUGGCUAUUGUUAACACAUUGUACAUUACUGUUGUUUGCCUAUUGAGCAAUGUGUCAGGAGAUUGAAAAUACAAACCGGAAAUAUAAGCCAAACAGAGCCAUACACAGACUGGCACCCCCAAAAAGUCUGGUUAAUAAUACUUUCCUGUGGACAUUUUAUCUUCACUACCUACCGUCAAAAGUACCAGCAGCAUGGACAAGCAGCAAGGGCUUCGAAAGAACAUUUGAAGAUUCCUUUUCAGUAUGUUAUGCCCACUUUGAAAUGAAUUUAUCAUCACAGAGGGAUGACGGUGGAAACAGCGGGGAAUCACAGUAGGAAAGAGGAAAGCCAAUAGCUACACUCUUGAUCCAUCACUGUAUAACAGCAGCCUCAAGAGAGAUGCCUAAACAGAUGUUCGCACAGACCUUUAGAAACAUCAGUAGAGUAUCCUACACCUGACCUUCUAUGAACCAGGCUGUAACAAUCCUCCUGGUUUCAACCCUUGCCUGUCCUGACUCCGUACCCACCUGCCUGACCACUCUGCCUGUUCUGACUACCAGCCUGCCUAUCCACUUUACUGUUUCGGACUCAGAUCUGGUUUCUGACCUCUGCCUGGCCUGCCCUCGAGACUGCCUAUCGUCUGGUACUGUUUGGACUCUGACCUGGUUUAUGAACUCUCGCCUGUCCCCGACCUGCCUUUGCCUACUCCCUUUGUUAUAAUAAAUAUUGGAGCUCUACCAUCUGC